AGCUAGUUGGUGGGGUAAAGGCCUACCAAGGCGACGAUCAGUAGCGGGUCUGAGAGGAUGAUCCGUCACACUGGAACUGAGACACGGUCCAGACUCCUACGGGAGGCAGCAGUGGGGAAUUUUGGACAAUGGGGGCAACCCUGAUCCAGCCAUUCCGCGUGAGUGAAGAAGGCCUUCGGGUUGUAAAGCUCUUUCAGCCGGAACGAAACGGUAUUCCUUAAUACGGGAUGCUAAUGACGGUACCGGCAGAAGAAGCACCGGCUAACUACGUGCCAGCAGCCGCGGUAAUACGUAGGGUGCGAGCGUUAAUCGGAAUUACUGGGCGUAAAGCGUGCGCAGGCGGAUUGUUAAGCAAGAUGUGAAAUCCCCGGGCUUAACCUGGGAAUGGCAUUUUGAACUGGCAGUCUAGAGUGUGUCAGAGGGGGGUGGAAUUCCACGUGUAGCAGUGAAAUGCGUAGAUAUGUGGAGGAACACCAAUGGCGAAGGCAGCCCCCUGGGAUAACACUGACGCUCAUGUACGAAAGCGUGGGUAGCAAACAGGAUUAGAUACCCUGGUAGUCCACGCCCUAAACGAUGUCAACUGGUUGUUGGGGGAGUGAAAUCCCUUAGUAACGAAGCUAACGCGUGAAGUUGACCGCCUGGGGAGUACGGUCGCAAGAUUAAAACUCAAAGGAAUUGACGGGGACCCGCACAAGCGGUGGAUGAUGUGGAUUAAUUCGAUGCAACGCGAAAAACCUUACCUACCCUUGACAUGUCCAGAAUCCUGCAGAGAUGCGGGAGUGCCCGAAAGGGAAUUGGAACACAGGUGCUGCAUGGCUGUCGUCAGCUCGUGUCGUGAGAUGUUGGGUUAAGUCCCGCAACGAGCGCAACCCUUAUCAUUAGUUGCUACGCAAGGGCACUCUAAUGAGACUGCCGGUGACAAACCGGAGGAAGGUGGGGAUGACGUCAAGUCCUCAUGGCCCUUAUGGGUAGGGCUUCACACGUCAUACAAUGGUCGGUACAGAGGGUUGCCAAGCCGCGAGGUGGAGCCAAUCCCAGAAAGCCGAUCGUAGUCCGGAUUGUUCUCUGCAACUCGAGAGCAUGAAGUCGGAAUCGCUAGUAAUCGCGAUCAGAAUGUCGCGGUGAAUACGUUCCCGGGUCUUGUACACACCGCCCGUCACACCAUGGGAGUGGAAUCUGCCAGAAGUAGGUAGCCUAACCGCAAGGAGGGCGCUUACCACGGUGG
rnacentral:rRNA from 1 species